CUAAGCUUAUCUUUAAAAAAAAAAAAAACUAAGUGAUACAGAAAAGAUUAGCAUGGUCGCUGUGCAAGGAAGACAAGCAAAUUAGUGAAGUGUUCCAUAUUUGG
ensembl:snRNA U6 U6 spliceosomal RNA